CAUUAAACCAAAUUUUAUAUUAUUCUGAACUUUUUUACACAUGCAUACCCAUGCAAUAUGAUAUGUAUAGUAUUUUUGUUUGUUUCUUCUGCAGUACUGGAGAUUGAACCUAUGGUCCUUAUACUACUGAGUUAUAUCCCCAGUCCUUUUUUCAUUUUUUAUUUUUUUUUGAGACAGGGUCAGAGUUGCCCAGACUGGCCUUGAACUUGUGAUCCUCCUGCCUCAGACUCUUGAGUAGCUGGAAUUAUAGGCAUGAGCCACAACACUGAUUUUGUGUAGUGUUAUUGUUUUGUUUUGUUUGAGGCUUGCUAAGUAUUUUUGGAUAACUGGAUGAAUGUGUAAAUAAAAGAAAUUAAGAUGCUAUAUUAAUAAUUCACUCAGUUAAAGAAGUCAAGAAAGAGUACUUAUGGGAAUAGAAAUGAAAUAAUAGGAUGUGAGCAAGUGUUAUAAACAAACCCACAAUUUUAUGACUGAUUUGGCUCUGUUGUACCUACAUAGAAUAAAAGAUAAUGUAAAAGCUAUAAGCUGUGGAUUUGGUGAUGAAAAUUUUGUUUACAAGACAGAAGAUAUUCUUCUCAUAUAUACAUAAAUAUAUAUGUAAUAUGUAAAUGCCAGUUUUUAUAGCCACAAAAUAGAAAUAAUACCACCUUGUAGGAUUUAUGAAAGGUUUAGAAAUAAUGUAUGUAGAAUGCUUAGGACAUAGUUUAGCAACGAAUUAUAAUUAUUGUGUGUAUGAACUAGGUGCUUCAGCAAUAUGAAAGUAGACACAAUUUAUAUUGUCUUAUUAGUAGCAUUAUUCUGUCAACAUAACCAUGGAUUUCUUCCAAUCUUUAAGUCAACUUUCAGGAAUAUCUGGUAAUAUGAAUUAAGGUUUUACGAAUUUGCAUAAAAUUAUAGCUGUCCUUUUUGCUUGUCUUACCUCAGCUUUAAAAUAGAAAAGCUAUAUUUAUUCCUCAUAAUGCUGCUACAGCAAUAGCUAAAAAUAAUUCUGAUAUGCAGACUUGUUUCAAUUGAAAUAAUUCAUAAAAUAACUUGAAUAGCUGCAAACUAUUACUAUGCAAAAUAUUUUUCUUCUGAUUUCUCUCUCCCUUCUUUCCUUUUCUAUAAUAAUUUUAAAGGCAAACUCCAAUGAUGUGAAAACAGACCCUAAAUAAAUGAAAAUGUUUAGAAAGAAAAAAAUUAUACAUGUAGUUGUUAUACAUAUAAUUUAUUAAACUCUUGAUUUACAGAAAAGGUAAUCUAAGAGAUAUGUAAGCAAAUUGUAAAUUUUUUCUCAUUGUUGUAAUGGAUUGUUAUUUAUUUAUUUAUUUAUUAUGGUGCCAGGGAUUGAACCCAAGAAUUCACACAUACUAGGCAAGCACUUUACCACUGAGCUACAUCCCCAGCUCUGUAAAGGAUUGUUAUACUUCUGUAAUUUGUGUCUAUACUUUGUUCCCUGGCUGGAGUGACUUCUUUGGAAUAGUAAUAUGUUAUCGUUGUGUGCCACUUCCAGUUUCUAUCAAG
rnacentral:lncRNA from 1 species